CAGUCGCCGCGGGAAAACGUAGGUGGCAAGCGUUGUCCGGAAUUAUUGGGCGUAAAGGGCUCGCAGGCGGUUUCUUAGGUCUGAUGUGAAAGCCCCCGGCUCAACCGGGGAGGGUCAUUGGAAACUGGGAAACUUGAGUGCAGAAGAGGAGAGUGGAAUUCCACGUGUAGCGGUGAAAUGCGUAGAGAUGUGGAGGAACACCAGUGGCGAAGGCGACUCUCUGGUCUGUAACUGACGCUGAGGAGCGAAAGCGUGGGGAGCGAACAGGAUUAGAUACCCCAGUAGUCCCUGUCUCUUAUAC
rnacentral:rRNA from 1 species